rnacentral:tRNA from 1 species
GGUAGUGGUGGGCGGCCUUGGCCGCGGUGUUGCUGCCCUGACCGGUGAUCGGGUCGUUGGCGAUGACCACGUCGGCCAGUCCCAGGACCUGGCCGCCGCCG